AUUGAACGCUGGCGGCAUGCUUUACACAUGCAAGUCGAACGGCAGCACGGGCUUCGGCCUGGUGGCGAGUGGCGAACGGGUGAGUAAUAUAUCGGAACGUACCCAAGAGUGGGGGAUAACGUAGCGAAAGUUACGCUAAUACCGCAUACGAUCUAUGGAUGAAAGCGGGGGAUCGCAAGACCUCGUGUUCCUGGAGCGGCCGAUAUCUGAUUAGCUAGUUGGUGAGGUAAAGGCUCACCAAGGCGACGAUCAGUAGCUGGUCUGAGAGGACGACCAGCCACACUGGAACUGAGACACGGUCCAGACUCCUACGGGAGGCAGCAGUGGGGAAUUUUGGACAAUGGGCGCAAGCCUGAUCCAGCAAUGCCGCGUGAGUGAAGAAGGCCUUCGGGUUGUAAAGCUCUUUUGUCAGGGAAGAAACGGUAGGGGCUAAUAUCCCUUGCUAAUGACGGUACCUGAAGAAUAAGCACCGGCUAACUACGUGCCAGCCGCCGCGGUAA
rnacentral:rRNA from 1 species